UCUCGCGUGGUCUAGCGGUUAGGAUUCCUGGUUUUCACUCAGGCGGCCCGGGUCCACUCCCAGUGCGGGAG
rnacentral:tRNA from 1 species